rnacentral:rRNA from 1 species
UGGCAGACGGGUGAGUAACGCGUGGGAACAUACCCUUUCCUGCGGAAUAGCUCCGGGAAACUGGAAUUAAUACCGCAUACGCCCUACGGGGGAAAGAUUUAUCGGGGAAGGAUUGGCCCGCGUUGGAUUAGCUAGUUGGUGGGGUAAAGGCCUACCAAGGCGACGAUCCAUAGCUGGUCUGAGAGGAUGAUCAGCCACAUUGGGACUGAG